rnacentral:rRNA from 1 species
ACGGGAGGCAGCAGUCGGGAAUAUUGCGCAAUGGAGGAAACUCUGACGCAGUGACGCCGCGUGCGGGAAGAAGGUUUUCGGAUUGUAAACUGCUUUAGACAGGGAAGAUAAUGACAGUACCUGUAGAAUAAGCUCCGGCUAACUACGUGCCAGCAGCCGCGGUAAUACGUAGGGAGCAAGCGUUAUCCGGAUUUAUUGGGUGUAAAGGGUGCGUAGACGGGAAAUUAAGUUAGUUGUGAAAUCCCUCGGCUUAACUGAGGAAUCGCAACUAAAACUGGUUUUCUUGAGUGCUGGAGAGGAAAGUGGAAUUCCUAGUGUAGCGGUGAAAUGCGUAGAUAUUAGGAGGAACACCAGUGGCGAAGGCGACUUUCUGGACAGUAACUGACGUAGGGGCACGAAAGUGUGGGGAGCAAACAGGAUUAGAUACCCUGGUA